rnacentral:rRNA from 1 species
GACGAACGCUGGCGGCGUGCUUAACACAUGCAAGUCGAACGGAAAGGCCCUGCUUUUGUGGGGUGCUCGAGUGGCGAACGGGUGAGUAACACGUGAGUAACCUGCCCCUGACUUUGGGAUAACUUCAGGAAACUGGGGCUAAUACCGCAUAGGAGCUCCUGCUGCAUGGUGGGGGUUGGAAAGUUUCGGCGGUUGGGGAUGGACUCGCAGCUUAUCAGCUUGUUGGUGGGGUAGUGGCUUACCAAGGGUUUGACGGGUAGCCGGCCUGAGAGGGUAGCCGGCGACAUUGGGACUGAGAUAGGGACCAGACUCCUACGGGCGGCAGCAGUGGGGAGUAUUGCACAGUGGGGGGAAGCCAGAUGCAGCAACGCCGCGUGCGGGAUGACGGCCUACGGGUUGUAAACCGCUUUCGCCUGUGACGAAGAGUGAGUGACGGUAAUGGGUAAAGAAGCACCGGCUAACUACGUG